rnacentral:rRNA from 1 species
ACAUCGGACUGAGACACGGCCGACUCUACGGGAGGCAGCAGUGGGAAUAUUGGACAAUGGGGGCAACCCUGAUCCAGCCAUGCCGCGUGUGUGAAGAAGGCCCUCGGGUUGUAAAGCACUUUCAGCGAGGAAGAACGCCUAGUGGUUAAUACCCAUUAGGAAAGACAUCACUCGCAGAAGAAGCACCGGCUAACUCCGUGCCAGCAGCCGCGGUAAUACGGAGGGUGCAAGCGUUAAUCGGAAUUACUGGGCGUAAAGCGCGCGUAGGUGGCUUGAUAAGCCGGUUGUGAAAGCCCCGGGCUCAACCUGGGAACGGCAUCCGGAACUGUCAGGCUAGAGUGCAGGAGAGGAAGGUAGAAUUCCCGGUGUAGCGGUGAAAUGCGUAGAGAUCGGGAGGAAUACCAGUGGCGAAGGCGGCCUUCUGGACUGACACUGACACUGAGGUGCGAAAGCGUGGGUAGCAAACAGGAUUAGAUACCCUGGUAGUCCACGCCGUAAACGAUGUCGACCAGCCGUUGGGUGCCUAGCGCACUUUGUGGCGAAGUUAACGCGAUAAGUCGACCGCCUGGGGAGUACGGCCGCAAGGUUAAAACUCAAAUGAAUUGACGGGGGCCCGCACAAGCGGUGGAGCAUGUGGUUUAAUUCGAUGCAACGCGAAGAACCUUACCUACCCUUGACAUCGACAGAAGCCGAGAGAGAUCUUGGUGUGCCUUCGGGAACUGUCAGACAGGUGCUGCAUGGCUGUCGUCAGCUCGUGUUGUGAAAUGUUGGGUUAAGUCCCGUAACGAGCGCAACCCUUGUCCUUAUUUGCCAGCGCGUAAUGGCGGGAACUCUAAGGAGACUGCCGGUGACAAACCGGAGGAAGGUGGGGACGACGUCAAGUCAUCAUGGCCCUUACGGGUAGGGCUACACACGUGCUACAAUGGCCGGUACAAAGGGCAGCGAGCUCGCGAGAGUCAGCGAAUCCCUUAAAGCCGGUCUCAGUCCGGAUCGGAGUCUGCAACUCGACUCCGUGAAGUCGGAAUCGCUAGUAAUCGGAAUCAGAAGCC